AGGGCGCGCGGCGGGGCGGGCGGGGCACGUGGUCGUUGUCGCGUCGCGUCUUCCGUGCCUCGCCCUCGCUGGCCUUCUGCGUCUGCUGGCGCCUGCAGGGCGUCGUCUCCGACGUGACGGCGGCCGCACGGCGUUUCCCUUGGGCUCUGCCCUGCGCAGCCCUGGUCCGAGCUGGCCAGUAAGGCCCCGCGCCCUCCCCGCCUCGCCCCGAGGAUCCACCGCGGCCGCCCAGGCUGUUGGCCUUGUCCUCACGGCUCGGAGAUAAGCCGGCGCUGGUCACACCGCGAAACCCCUGUUCGCACCGAGACCCCGCUCGGGAUCAUGCGCACAGGCCAGGGCGCAGCAAGCCUUGGAGAAGCUACCUGCACAGCCCAUUCCUUGCGCGAGCUUCGCAUCUUCUGCCUCAGUUUCCUUACCUGUAAAGGGGUGAUCAUAGGACAUCCUUGGUCACACCUUUGUGGGACCCACCUGGGCUAGAGCGCGGUACCCGCCCAGGACAGUGACUGCUGCUGGAAACCGUCGUGGCACUGGGGUCACCUCCCCAAGGAGGAAGUGGGCUUCCUGCAAGCAGAGCUGUGCCCAGGACCAUGCCAGCCCAUGACAGGCAUUCACCCUGUUCUAACAAGUGAACAAAGGGGAGGAGUAAUUUUUUCAACAAAUGGUGCUGGGAUCUUGCAGGUACCUGAACAUAUGCAAGCUCCUGGAGGGCAGCAUGCCCAGGGAGGGCAGGUAAGAUGGAGUAAGCAAGUUCCACCUGCCUCUCCUGUGGAAUGCAGCUAUAAAAUCUGGACGCAACUUGUGGAGCAGAUACUUGAGGUUUCUGAGCAGUAAACAGCAGCAGGUGGAUUAGGAAAGACCAAUGGUAUGUCUUGAUCAGCAGUGUGAAAUGGACUAACACAACCAGAAUUCAAAGUACCACUGAAUGGCUGUGAGUUACCCACUGGUUGGCCCGGAUGUCUCUUGGUCUGGACAAGCUAUGACAAGACAUAGACAAGCUGAUUCUAAGAUGUGUAUGAAAAGCAAAGACACGGCCGGGCGCGGUGGCUCAAGCCUAUAAUCCCAGCACUUUGGGAGGCCGAGACGGGCGGAUCACGAGGUCAGGAGAUCGAGACCAUCCUGGCUAACACAGUGAAACCCCGUCUCUACUAAAAAAUACGAAAAACUAGCAGGGCGUGGUGGCGGGCGCCUGUAGUCCCAGCUACUCGGGAGGCUGAGGCAGGAGAAUGGCCUAAACCCGGGAGGCAGAGCUUGCAGUGAGCCGAGAUCGUGCCACCGCACUCCAGCCUGGGCGAUAGAGCGAGACUCCGUCUCAAAAAAAAAAAAAAA
rnacentral:lncRNA from 1 species